rnacentral:rRNA from 1 species
CCUACGGGAGGCUGCAGUGGGGAAUAUUGGACAAUGGGGGCAACCCUGAUCCAGCCAUGCCGCGUGUGUGAAGAAGGCCCUCGGGUUGUAAAGCACUUUCAGUGAGGAAGAACGCCUGGUGGUUAAUACCCAUCAGGAAAGACAUCACUCACAGAAGAAGCACCGGCUAACUCCGUGCCAGCAGCCGCGGUAAUACGGAGGGUGCGAGCGUUAAUCGGAAUUACUGGGCGUAAAGCGCGCGUAGGUGGCUUGAUAAGCCGGUUGUGAAAGCCCCGGGCUCAACCUGGGAACGGCAUCCGGAACUGUCAAGCUAGAGUGCAGAAGAGGAAGGUAGAAUUCCCGGUGUAGCGGUGAAAUGCGUAGAGAUCGGGAGGAAUACCAGUGGCGAAGGCGGCCUUCUGGACUGACACUGACACUGAGGUGCGAAAGCGUGGGUAGCAAACAGGAUUAGAUACCCUAGUAGUC